rnacentral:rRNA from 1 species
UACGGAGGGGGCUAGCGUUGUUCGGAAUUACUGGGCGUAAAGCGCGCGUAGGCGGCUUUGUAAGUUAGAGGUGAAAGCCCGAAGCUCAACUUCGGAAUUGCCUUUAAGACUGCAUCGCUAGAAUCGUGGAGAGGUGAGUGGAAUUCCGAGUGUAGAGGUGAAAUUCGUAGAUAUUCGGAAGAACACCAGUGGCGAAGGCGGCUCACUGGACUGGUAUUGACGCUGAGGUGCGAAAGCGUGGGGAGCAAACAGG